rnacentral:rRNA from 1 species
UCCCCUAGUAACGGCGAGUGAAGAGGGAAAAGCUCAAAUUUAAAAUCUGGCGGUCUUCGGCCGUCCGAGUUGUAGUUUCGAGAGGUGUUUUCUGCGCCGGACCACACACAAGUCCCUUGGGAUAGGGCUUCAUAGAGGGUGAGAAUCCCGUUCAUGGUGUGGACUCCCGGGGCUAUGUGAUGCACCCUCAAAGAGUCGAGUUGUUUGGGAAUGCAGCUCAAAAUGGGUGGUAAAUUCCAUCUAAAGCUAAAUAUUGGGGAGAGACCGAUAGCGCACAAGUACCGUGAGGGAAAGGUGAAAAGCACUUUGGAAAGAGAGUUAAACAGUACGUGAAAUUGCUGAAAGGGAAACGCUUGGAGUCAGUCGCGUUCGCCUGGACUCAGCCGUGGUUUUCCACGGUGUACUUCCUGGUGGAUGGGCCAGCAUCGAUUUUGUUCGCCGUACAAGGGUGGGGAGGAAGGUGGCAUCCUUCGGGGUGUGUUAUAGCCUCCCUUCGCAUGCGGUGGACGGGAUCGAGGAACGCAGCGCGCCCGCAAGGGUUGGGGGCUUCGGUCCCU